GGAGGAGUGGCCGAGCGGUCGAAGGCAGCGGUCUUGAAAACCGCCGUGCGCAAGCACCGGGGGUUCGAAUCCCUCCUCCUCCG
rnacentral:tRNA from 1 species